rnacentral:rRNA from 1 species
AGACCAGACUCCUACGGGAGGCAGCAGUGGGGAAUAUUGCACAAUGGGGGGAACCCUGAUGCAGCGACGCCGCGUGAGUGAAGAAGUAUUUCGGUAUGUAAAGCUCUAUCAGCAGGGAAGAAAAUGACGGUACCUGACUAAGAAGCCCCGGCUAACUACGUGCCAGCAGCCGCGGUAAUACGUAGGGGGCAAGCGUUAUCCGGAUUUACUGGGUGUAAAGGGAGCGUAGACGGCAGAGCAAGUCUGAAGUGAAAGCCCGCGGCCCAACUGCGGGACUGCUUUGGAAACUGUAAAGCUGGAGUGUGGGAGGGGCAGGCGGAAUUCCUGGUGUAGCGGUGAAAUGCGUAGAUAUCAGGAGGAACACCGGCGGCGAAGGCGGCCUGCUGGACCGUAACUGACGUUGAGGCUCGAAAGCGUGGGGAGCAAACAGGAUUAGAUACCCCCGUAAG